rnacentral:rRNA from 1 species
CAUGCAGUCGUACGAGAAAGUCUCUUCGGAGGCGAGUAAAGUGGCGCACGGGUGAGUAACACGUAAACAAUCUACCCUGUUGACCGGGACAACCCCGCGAAAGCGGAGCUAAUACCGGAUAAGCUCUAGAGGACAUACAGUUCUUUAGAGGAAAGUGGCCCUCUGAUCUACGGUCGCACGACAGGAUGGGUUUGCGGCCCAUCAGCUUGUUGGUGAGGUAACGGCUCACCAAGGCUAUGACGGGUAGCUGGUCUGAGAGGACGAUCAGCCACACUGGGACUGGUACACGGCCCAGACUCCUACGGGAGGCAGCAGUGGGGAAUAUUGGACAAUGGGGGAAACCCUGAUCCAGCAAUGCCGCGUGAAGGAAGAAGGUUCUUGGAUUGUAAACUUCUGUCAUAGGGGAAGAAAUCCUGCUAUAAAAUAUAUGGUAGGUUUGACGGUACCCUAAGAGGAAGCACCGGCUAACUCCGUGCCAGCAGCCGCGGUAAUACGGAGGGUGCAAGCGUUGUUCGGAAUUACUGGGCGUAAAGCGUGUCUAGGUGGAAACGUAAGUCAUGUGUGAAAGACCUUGGCUCAACCAAGGAAUUGCGCCUGAAACUGCGUAUCUUGAGUGACG